rnacentral:rRNA from 1 species
CGAGCGAACAGAAGGGAGCUUGCUCCCGGAUGUUAGNCGGCGGACGGGUGAGUAACACGUGGGUAACCUGCCUGUAAGACUGGGAUAACUCCGGGAAACCGGAGCUAAUACCGGAUAGUUCCUUGAACCGCAUGGUUCAAGGAUGAAAGACGGUUUCGGCUGUCACUUACAGAUGGACCCGCGGCGCAUUAGCUAGUUGGUGGGGUAAUGGCUCACCAAGGCGACGAUGCGUAGCCGACCUGAGAGGGUGAUCGGCCACACUGGGACUGAGACACGGCCCAGACUCCUACGGGAGGCAGCAGUAGGGAAUCUUCCGCAAUGGACGAAAGUCUGACGGAGCAACGCCGCGUGAGUGAUGAAGGUUUUCGGAUCGUAAAGCUCUGUUGUUAGGGAAGAACAAGUGCGAGAGUAACUGCUCGCACCUUGACGGUACCUAACCAGAAAGCCACGGCUAACUACGUGCCAGCAGCCGCGGUAAUACGUAGGUGGCAAGCGUUGUCCGGAAUUAUUGGGCGUAAAGGGCUCGCAGGCGGUUUCUUAAGUCUGAUGUGAAAGCCCCCGGCUCAACCGGGGAGGGUCAUUGGAAACUGGGAAACUUGAGUGCAGAAGAGGAGAGUGGAAUUCCACGUGUAGCGGUGAAAUGCGUAGAGAUGUGGAGGAA